rnacentral:rRNA from 1 species
GACGAACGCUGGCGGCGUGCUUAACACAUGCAAGUCGAGCGGUAAGGCUCCUUCGGGAGUACACGAGCGGCGAACGGGUGAGUAACACGUGAGCAAUCUGCCCUCCACAUCGGGAUAACCCCGGGAAACUGGGGCUAAUACCGGAUUCGACCACCGAUGGCAUCAUCCGGUGGUGGAACGUUCCGGCGGUGGCGGAUGAGCUCGCGGCCUAUCAGCUUGUUGGUGAGGUAACGGCUCACCAAGGCAACGACGGGUAGCCGGCCUGAGAGGGUGACCGGCCACACUGGGACUGAGACACGGCCCAGACUCCUACGGGAGGCAGCAGUGGGGAAUAUUGGACAAUGGGCGAAAGCCUGAUCCAGCAACGCCGCGUGAGGGAUGACGGCCUUCGGGUUGUAAACCUCUUUCAGCGGGGACGAAGCGCGAGUGACGGUACCCGCAGAAGAAGCUCCGGCCAACUACGUGCCAGCAGCCGCCGUAA